rnacentral:rRNA from 1 species
UACAGAGGGGGCAAGCGUUGUUCGGAAUUACUGGGCGUAAAGGGCGCGUAGGCGCCUUCUAAGUCGAACGUGAAAUCCCCGGGCUCAACCCGGGAACUGCGUCCGAUACUGGAAGGCUUGAAUCCGGGAGAGGGAUGCGGAAUUCCAGGUGUAGCGGUGAAAUGCGUAGAUAUCUGGAGGAACACCGGUGGCGAAGGUGGCAUCCUGGACCGGAGUGUGACGCUGAGGCGCGAAAGCCAGGGGAGCAAACGGGAUUAGA